rnacentral:SRP_RNA from 1 species
UGCUAGGCUGGGAGGCUUAUCCUCUCCUGUCAUCCAAAACGGAUAUACGUGGAGGCCGAAGCCCAAGGGGCGGUUUGCUCCUUAAGCAUUAGUCCUGUUUGGACCGUCGAUGCUCUGUCCUCAUUGGUCCUUAUCUUUGUGAACCGGGUCAGGCUGGGAACAGAGCAGCCCUAAGCUUAGGCAAGGGUGCUUUGAGGGUCGCGGAGCGGAGGGAAAAGCAGGGUCAACUGGUGUUUAAGUUGCCUAUCCACCCUUGGGCGCGCA